rnacentral:lncRNA from 1 species
GUAUUGUCCAUAAGGUCCUAUGUUAAACUAAGUCCCCUACAAUGGGCCGCCAUCUUAGAUGAUGGAUCAGCUUCAAAGUAACAGUAUUUGUUCAGCAACUCGUAUGGAACAUUCAUGCCAUGUUUAGUUUAAUUCAUUUCAGUGGUUCUCUGAAAGGCGACAUUUGCAUGUAUUUUCCAUAUUGUCCAAUGUGAGACAAAGUCCCCCGCUGGCGGCCAUCUUGGAUGAUGAAUCUGCUUCAAGUAACAACACUUGGUCAGCACCUCAUUAGAAACAUGCAUAAUUUGUUUUGUUUCAUUCCAUUCAGUGGUUCUCUAUCAGAAGACAUGUGUACUAUAUAUGGUCCUAUGUUAAACGAAGUCUCCCACUGUCGGCCAUAUUGGAUGAUUGAUUGGCUUCAAAGUAACAACACUUGGUCAGCAC